rnacentral:rRNA from 1 species
UGAGGAAUUUUGGACAAUGGGGGCAACCCUGAUCCAGCAAUGCCGCGUGAGUGAAGAAGGCCUUCGGGUUGUAAAGCUCUUUUGUCAGGGAAGAAACGGUAGUAGCGAAUAACUAUUACUAAUGACGGUACCUGAAGAAUAAGCACCGGCUAACUACGUGCCAGCAGCCGCGGUAAUACGUAGGGUGCAAGCGUUAAUCGGAAUUACUGGGCGUAAAGCGUGCGCAGGCGGUUGUGUAAGUCAGAUGUGAAAUCCCCGGGCUCAACCUGGGAAUUGCAUUUGAGACUGCACGGCUAGAGUGUGUCAGAGGGGGGUAGAAUUCCACGUGUAGCAGUGAAAUGCGUAGAUAUGUGGAGGAAUACCGAUGGCGAAGGCAGCCCCCUGGGAUAACACUGACGCUCAUGCACGAAAGCGUGGGGAGCAAACAGGAUUAGAUACCCAAGUAGUCCCUGAGCGGGCUGGCAAGGCGCAU